rnacentral:rRNA from 1 species
UAUCCGGAUUUAUUGGGUUUAAAGGGUGCGUAGGCGGCCUUUUAAGUCAGCGGUGAAAGUCUGUGGCUCAACCAUAGAAUUGCCGUUGAAACUGGGAGGCUUGAGUAUGUUUGAGGCAGGCGGAAUGCGUGGUGUAGCGGUGAAAUGCUUAGAUAUCACGCAGAACCCCGAUUGCGAAGGCAGCCUGCCAAGCCAUGACUGACGCUGAUGCACGAAAGCGUGGGGAUCAAACAGGAUUAGAUACCCUGGUAGUCCACGCAGUAAACGAUGAUCACUAGCUGUUUGCGAUACAGUGUAAGCGGCACAGCGAAAGCGUUAAGUGAUCCACCUGGGGAGUACGCCGGCAACGGUGAAACUCAAAGGAAUUGACGGGGGCCCGCACAAGCGGAGGAACAUGUGGUUUAAUUCGAUGAUACGCGAGGAACCUUACCCGGGUUUGAACGCAUUCGGACCGAGGUGGAAACACCUUUUCUAGCAAUAGCCGUUUGCGAGGUGCUGCAUGGUUGUCGUCAGCUCGUGCCGUGAGGUGUCGGCUUAAGUGCCAUAACGAGCGCAACCCUUGCCACUAGUUACUAACAGGUAAAGCUGAGGACUCUGGUGGGACUGCCAGCGUAAGCUGCGAGGAAGGCGGGGAUGACGUCAAAUCAGCACGGCCCUUACAUCCGGGGCGACACACGUGUUACAAUGGCGUGGACAAAGGGAAGCCACCUGGCGACAGGGAGCGAAUCCCCAAACCACGUCUCAGUUCGGAUCGGAGUCUGCAACCCGACUCCGUGAAGCUGGAUUCGCUAGUAAUCGCGCAUCAGCCAUGGCGCGGUGAAUACGUUCCCGGGCCUUGUACACACCGCCCGUCAAGCCAUGGGAGCCGGGGGUACCUGAAGUCCGUAACCGAAAGGAUCGGCCUAGGGUAAAACUGGUGACUGGGGCUAAGUCGUAACAAGUUAGCCGUACCGGAAGGUGCGGCUG